UUCACAACAUUAUUUAAUCAGGUAUGAGAAUUUCAAAUCAUGUACAAAUUGAAAUUGUAAGCAAUGUAUGAACAAAAAAUGGAGCUAGUAUAAACGGUAAUAAUCCUCAUAUUUGACACAAGACCAAUUACAAACAAAUGUAUUCAAAUAGAUGACCCAGAGAAAGAGACCAUAAGUGUUCAACAGAUUGGGAACAAAAUCAUCAAGCCUGAGCAAGCUUCUUCACCACUGUAGCCAUAUAUUUGCCCUGAUGUUCUGCAAGUGCCAGCUCCGAUUCACUUGGCUCUCUCAAGCCAUCACCAGCAUAAACACCAGCACCAUAUGGAGAACCGCCUCGUAUAGAAUCCAUCUUAAACAUACCAGCUCCAAAGGUGUAACCAACAGGAACAUAUAGCAUUCCAUGGUGAGCCAACUGGGUAAUUGCUGUCCAUGCUGUUGUUUCUUGGCCGCCACCUUGUGUCCCGGUACUCACGAAGAAUCCAGCAGGCCUUCCAGCAAGCUUCUGCUCUUUCCACAAAUGCCCGGUAGAGUCAAAGAACGNNNAGUGCGGCCAUGCACCCGUACCUCGUCGGAAACCCGAACAAAACCCCAUCGGCAUCCGUCAAUUCCGCGGCCGUUAUCUCCGGAACCUCAGGGUCCUUCGGUGGUGCCUUCAUGUGUUCCAACACAUCAGCCGGUAAGGUCUCCGGAACCCGAUACAAAACAGCCUGCACUCCUUCUACUCCGUCGACUCCCUUCUUCAUCCGCCUGGCCAACCCCUCCACGUGACCGUACAUCGAGUAAAA
rnacentral:misc_RNA from 1 species